rnacentral:ncRNA from 1 species
AGAAUAGAGACUAUGAAGUAUAUCUUGUAUUUGGGCACCUAAGGUAUAUGGAGUUAGUGGUGCAACCGG